GACGAACGCUGGCGGCGUGCUUAACACAUGCAAGUCGAACGGAAAGGCCCUGCUUUUGUGGGGUGCUCGAGUGGCGAACGGGUGAGUAACACGUGAGUAACCUGCCCUUGACUUUGGGAUAACUUCAGGAAACUGGGGCUAAUACCGGAUAGGAGCUCCUGCUGCAUGGUGGGGGUUGGAAAGUUUCGGCGGUUGGGGAUGGACUCGCGGCUUAUCAGCUUGUUGGUGGGGUAGUGGCUUACCAAGGCUUUGACGGGUAGCCGGCCUGAGAGGGUGACCGGCCACAUUGGGACUGAGAUACGGCCCAGACUCCUACGGGAGGCAGCAGUGGGGAAUAUUGCACAAUGGGCGGAAGCCUGAUGCAGCAACGCCGCGUGCGGGAUGACGGCCUUCGGGUUGUAAACCGCUUUCGCCUGUGACGAAGCGUGAGUGACGGUAAUGGGUAAAGAAGCACCGGCUAACUACGUGCCAGCAGCCGCGGUGAUACGUAGGGUGCGAGCGUUGUCCGGAUUUAUUGGGCGUAAAGGGCUCGUAGGUGGUUGAUCGCGUCGGAAGUGUAAUCUUGGGGCUUAACCCUGAGCGUGCUUUCGAUACGGGUUGACUUGAGGAAGGUAGGGGAGAAUGGAAUUCCUGGUGGAGCGGUGGAAUGCGCAGAUAUCAGGAGGAACACCAGUGGCGAAGGCGGUUCUCUGGGCCUUUCCUGACGCUGAGGAGCGAAAGCGUGGGGAGCGAACAGGCUUAGAUACCCUGGUAGUCCACGCUGUAAACGGUGGGUACUAGGUGUGGGGUCCAUUCCACGGGUUCCGUGCCGUAGCUAACGCUUUAAGUACCCCGCCUGGGGAGUACGGCCGCAAGGCUAAAACUCAAAGGAAUUGACGGGGCCCCGCACAAGCGGCGGAGCAUGCGGAUUAAUUCGAUGCAACGCGUAGAACCUUACCUGGGUUUGACAUGGAUCGGGAGUGCUCAGAGAUGGGUGUGCCUCUUUUGGGGUCGGUUCACAGGUGGUGCAUGGCUGUCGUCAGCUCGUGUCGUGAGAUGUUGGGUUAAGUCCCGCAACGAGCGCAACCCUUGUUCACUGUUGCCAGCACGUUAUGGUGGGGACUCAGUGGAGACCGCCGGGGUCGACUCGGAGGAAGGUGGGGAUGACGUCAAGUCAUCAUGCCCCUUAUGUCCAGGGCUUCACGCAUGCUACAAUGGCUGGUACAGAGAGUGGCGAGCCUGUGAGGGUGAGCGAAUCUCGGAAAGCCGGUCUCAGUUCGGAUUGGGGUCUGCAACUCGACCUCAUGAAGUCGGAGUCGCUAGUAAUCGCAGAUCAGCAACGCUGCGGUGAAUACGUUCCCGGGGCUUGUACACACCGCCCGUCAAGUCAUGAAAGUUGGUAACACCCGAAGCCGGUGGCCUAACCGUUGUGGGGGAGCCGUCGAAGGUG
rnacentral:rRNA from 1 species